rnacentral:rRNA from 1 species
CUACUCUUACGGGAGGCAGCAGUGGGGAAUAUUGCACAAUGGGCGGAAGCCUGAUGCAGCAACGCCGCGUGAGGGAUGACGGCCUUCGGGUUGUAAACCUCUUUUAGCAGGGAAGAAGCGAGAGUGACGGUACCUGCAGAAAAAGCACCGGCUAACUACGUGCCAGCAGCCGCGGUAAUACGUAGGGUGCAAGCGUUAUCCGGAAUUAUUGGGCGUAAAGAGCUCGUAGGCGGUCUGUCGCGUCUGCUGUGAAAUCCCGAGGCUCAACCUCGGGCUUGCAGUGGGUACGGGCAGACUAGAGUGCGGUAGGGGAGAUUGGAAUUCCUGGUGUAGCGGUGGAAUGCGCAGAUAUCAGGAGGAACACCGAUGGCGAAGGCAGAUCUCUGGGCCGUAACUGACGCUGAGGAGCGAAAGGGUGGGGAGCAAACAGGCUUAGAUACCCUGGUAGUCCACCCCGUAAACGUUGGGAACUAGUUGUGGGGUCCUUUCCACGGAUUCCGUGACGCAGCUAACGCAUUAAGUUCCCCGCCUGGGGAGUACGGCCGCAAGGCUAAAACUCAAAGGAAUUGACGGGGACCCGCACAAGCGGCGGAGCAUGCGGAUUAAUUUGAUGCAACGCGAAGAACCUUACCAAGGCUUGACAUACACGAGAACGGGCCAGAAAUGGUCAAGCUC